CCUGUGAAGAAUCAUACCAAAUGAAAGUAGUAUGUGAUUUAUCACUACAAAAUCAGAUUCGUUGAAACAGGAA
ncrna:Clostridium botulinum E1 str. 'BoNT E Beluga' RAGATH-18 RNA